GACGAACGCUGGCGGCGUGCUUAACACAUGCAAGUCGAACGAUGAAGCCGGAGCUUGCUCUGGUGAAUUAGUGGCGAACGGGUGAGUAACACGUGAGUAACCUGCCCUUGACUCUGGGAUAACUGCUAGAAACGGUAGCUAAUACUGGAUACGACCUACGAAGGCAUCUUCUGUAGGUGGAAAGAAUUUCGGUUCGGGAUGGACUCGCGGCCUAUGGGCUUGUUGGUGAGGUAAUGGCUCACCAAGGCGGCGACGGGUAGCCGGCCUGGGAGGGUGGCCGGCCACACUGGGACUGAGACACGGCACAGACUCCUACGGGAGGCAGCAGGGGGGAAUAUUGCACAAUGGGCGCAAGCCUGACGCAGCAACGCCGCGUGAGGGAUGACGGCCUUCGGGUUGUAAACCUCUUUUAGUAGGGAAGGAGCGAAAGUGACGGUACCUGCAGAAAAAGCACCGGCUAACUACGUGCCAGCCGCCGCCGUAA
rnacentral:rRNA from 1 species